rnacentral:rRNA from 1 species
GGGUUGUGAGGUUAAGCGACUAAGCGUACACGGUGGAUGCCCUGGCAGUCAGAGGCGAUGAAGGGCGUGCUAAUCUGCGAUAAGCGCCGGUAAGGUGAUAUGAACCGUUAUAACCGGCGAUACCCGAAUGGGGAAACCCAGUGUGACUCGUCACACUAUCAUUAACUGAAUCCAUAGGUUAAUGAGGCGAACCGGGGGAACUGAAACAUCUAAGUACCCCGAGGAAAAGAAAUACAACCGAGACUUCCCC